UACGUAGGGUGCAAGCGUUGUCCGGAAUUAUUGGGCGUAAAGAGCUCGUAGGUGGUUUGUCGCGUUGUUCGUGAAAACUCACAGCUUAACUGUGGGCGUGCGGGCGAUACGGGCAGACUUGAGUACUGCAGGGGAGACUGGAAUUCCUGGUGUAGCGGUGAAAUGCGCAGAUAUCAGGAGGAACACCGGUGGCGAAGGCGGGUCUCUGGGCCGUAACUGACGCUGAGGAGCGAAAGCGUGGGGAGCGAACAGG
rnacentral:rRNA from 1 species